rnacentral:rRNA from 1 species
AUUGAACGCUGGCGGCAGGCCUAACACAUGCAAGUCGAACGGUAACAGGAAGCAGCUUGCUGCUUCGCUGACGAGUGGCGGACGGGUGAGUAAUGUCUGGGAAGCUGCCUGAUGGAGGGGGAUAACUACUGGAAACGGUAGCUAAUACCGCAUAAUGUCGCAAGACCAAAGAGGGGGACCUUCGGGCCUCUUGCCAUCGGAUGUGCCCCGAUGGGAUUAGCUUGUUGGUGGGGUAACGGCUCACCAAGGCGACGAUCCCUAGCUGGUCUGAGAGGAUGACCAGCCACACUGGAACUGAGACACGGUCCAGACUCCUACGGGAGGCAGCAGUGGGGAAUAUUGCACAAUGGGCGCAAGCCUGAUGCAGCCAUGCCGCGUGUAUGAAGAAGGCCUUCGGGUUGUAAAGUACUUUUGGCGGGGAGGAAGGGAGUAAAGUUAAUACCUUGGCUUAUUGACGGUACCCGCAGAAGAAGCACCGGCUAACUCCGUG